rnacentral:rRNA from 1 species
GACGAACGCUGGCGGCGUGCUUAACACAUGCAAGUCGAACGGAAAGGCCCUGCUUUUGUGGGGUGCUCGAGUGGCGAACGGGUGAGUAACACGUGAGUAACCUGCCCUUGACUUUGGGAUAACUUCAGGAAACUGGGGCUAAUACCGGAUAGGAGCUCCUGCUGCAUGGUGGGGGUUGGAAAGUUUCGGCGGUUGGGGAUGGACUCGCGGCUUAUCAGCUUGUUGGUGGGGUAGUGGCUUACCAAGGCUUUGACGGGUAGCCGGCCUGAGAGGGUGACCGGCCACAUGGGGACUGAGAUACGGCCCAGACGCCUACGGGAGGCAGCAGUGGGGAAUAUUGCACAAUGGGCGGAAGCCUGAUGCAGCAACGCCGCGUGCGGGAUGACGGCCUUCGGGUUGUAAACCGCUUUCGCCUGUGACGAAGCGUGAGUGACGGUAAUGUGUAAAGAAGCACCGGCUAACUACGUG